rnacentral:pre_miRNA from 1 species
UGUGCAUGUGUGUAUAGUUGUGUGUGCAUGUUCAUGUCUAUAUUUGAAUAUACAUAACAUACACACACACGUAUAAACGCAAGCACA